rnacentral:rRNA from 1 species
UGGGGAAUAUUGGACAAUGGGGGCAACCCUGAUCCAGCGAUGCCGCGUGUGUGAAGAAGGCCUGCGGGUUGUAAAGCACUUUAGUUGGGGAGGAAAGGUAUGUACUGCAUAAGUGCAUGCUGUGACGUUACCCAAAGAAUAAGCACCGGCAAACUCUGUGCCAGCAGCCGCGGUAAUACAGAGGGUGCAAGCGUUAAUCGGAAUUACUGGGCGUAAAGCGCGCGUAGGUGGUUUGUUAAGUUGGAUGUGAAAUCCCCGGGCUCAACCUGGGAACUGCAUUCAAAACUGACUGACUAGAGUAUGGUAGAGGGUGGUGGAAUUUCCUGUGUAGCGGUGAAAUGCGUAGAUAUAGGAAGGAACACCAGUGGCGAAGGCGACCACCUGGACUGAUACUGACACUGAGGUGCGAAAGCGUGGGGAGCAAACAGGAUUAGAUACCCACGUAGUCCCUGAGCGGGCUGGCAAGGCGCAU